AACGCACAUUGCGCCCUUUGGUAUUCCGAGGGGCAUGCCUGUUCGAGCGUCAUUUCAAACCCUCAAGCUCCGGCUUGGUAUUGGGCUCUCGUCCGUUGCUCUGGACGUGCCCGAAACUCGUAGGCGGUGGCGCCCAGCUCCCUAGCGUAGUCAAAUCUUCCGCUCUGGAGGUCUGGGAUCCGCCCGCCGGACAACCCCCCUUUCUAUCAAUGGGUUGACCUCGGAUCAGGUAGGGAUACCCGCUGAACUUAA
rnacentral:misc_RNA from 1 species